AUUGAACGCUGGCGGCAUGCCUAACACAUGCAAGUCGAGCGGUUGAAGGUAGUUUUCUCCUGUAUUUUGCGGCCGGCGGGUGUGUAAUUCCUGCGUAUCUCCCUUGUCUUGGGGUAUAACGUCCCAAUACGGGCCCUAAUCCCAUAUACCUUCUGACGUUUAAAGUUGGGUUUCUUCGUACCUCUCGCCAUUUGCUUUGCCUAGGUCGGAUUUCCUGGUUUGUUGGGUAAUGGCUUACCAAGGGGCCGACCCGUAACUGGUUGCAUAGUCGGAUCAGUCAAACGGGAACGGAGACACGGCCAAGACUCCUACGGGAGGAAGCAGUGGGGAAUAUUGGACAAUGGGGGAAAGCCUGAUCAAGAAAUGCCGCGUGGGGGAAGAAGGUCUUCGGAUUGUAAAGCACUUUAAGUGGGGAGGAAGGGGAGUAAGUUAAUAACUUGAUGUAGUGACGUUACCAACAGAAUAAGCACCGGCUAACUACGUG
rnacentral:rRNA from 1 species